rnacentral:rRNA from 1 species
GGGGAAUUUUGCGCAAUGGGGGAAACCCUGACGCAGCGAUGCCGCGUGGAGGACGAAGGUCUUCGGAUUGUAAACUCCUUUUGCGGGGGAAGAAUGGCGGCGUGAAUAACGCCGUUCGACGGUACUCCGCGAAUAAGCCACGGCUAACUUCGUGCCAGCAGCCGCGGUAAGACGAAGGUGGCAAGCGUUACUCGGAAUUACUAGGCGUAAAGCGCGAGCAGGCGGUUCGGUAAGUCUGUCGUGAAAGCCCCGGGCUCAACCCGGGGAGGUCGAUGGAUACUGCCGGACUCGAAUACGGGAGAGGUCACUGGAAUUCCUGGUGUAGCGGUGAAAUGCGUAGAUAUCAGGAGGAACACCGAAGGCGAAGGCAGGUGACUGGACCGUUAUUGACGCUGAGUCGCGAAAGCCGGGGGAGCAAA